AGCAGCCGCGGUAAUUCCAGCUCCAAUAGCGUAUAUUAAAGUUGUUGCAGUUAAAAAGCUCGUAGUUGAAUUUCGGGGUUAGUAGGUUGGUCAUGCCUCUGGUAUGUACUGGUCUCACUGAUUCCUCCUUCCUGAUGAGCCGUAAUGCCAUUAAUUUGGUGUUGCGGGGAAUUUGGACUGUUAACUUUGAAAAAUUAGAGUGUUUAAAGCAAGCUAACGCUUGAAUACAUUAGCAUGGAAUAA
rnacentral:rRNA from 1 species